CCCUUAGAUGCUCUGGGCCGCACGCGCGCUACACUGGUCGAUGCAACGAGUUUCUUUCCUUGGCCGACAGGCCUGGGCAAUCUUUGAACAUCGAUCGUGAUCGGGAUAGAUUCUUGUAAUUUUUGAUCUUAAACGAGGAAUUCCUAGUAAACGCAAGUCAUCAGCUUGCAUUGAUUACGUCCCUGCCCUUUGUACACACCGCCCGUCGCACCUACCGAUUGAAUGGUCCGGUGAAAUCUUCGGAUCUGAGAGAUGUCUGAUUAAUUUCGGACGCCUUUUGGAAAAGUUGUUUAAACCUUACCAUUUAGAGGAAGGUGAAGUCGUAACA
rnacentral:rRNA from 1 species